rnacentral:misc_RNA from 1 species
GCAAACUUGGUCAUUUAGAGGAAGUAAAAGUCGUAACAAGGUAACCGUAGGUGAACCUGCGGUUGGAUCAUUAAUAAAUCUAAAGAGUUAACUUCUUAACGGAAGUUUAACGCUUUAAACCCUUGUGAACUGUAAAUGUCUCUGGUGGGUUAAAAAUGGGAGAUUAAUCUUCAGGGCUGAAAAGCUCACCCACUGUUUAAAUAUAAGCCUUUAGUAGAUAUAGUUAGUCUAAAGAAUGAAUUUAAUAAUUCUAAAACAACUUUUGACAACGGAUCUCUUGGCUCUCGCAUCGAUGAAGAACGCAGC